UACAGAGGUCUCAAGCGUUGUUCGGAUUCAUUGGGCGUAAAGGGUGCGUAGGCGGCGCGUUAAGUCGGGUGUGAAAUCUUGGAGCUUAACUCCGAAACUGCAUUCGAUACUGCCGUGCUUGAGGACUGGAAAGGAGACUGGAAUUUACGGUGUAGCGGUGAAAUGCGUAGAUAUCGUAAGGAAGACCAGUGGCGAAGGCGGGUCUCUGGACAGUUCCUGACGCUGAGGCACGAAGGUCAGGGGAGCAAACGGG
rnacentral:rRNA from 1 species